GUGCUUGCNCUGAAUNAGAUUUUAACACGAAGUGAGUGGCGGANGGGUGAGUAACACGUGGGUAACCUGCCCAGAAGCAGGGGAUAACACCUGGAAANAGAUGCUAAUACCGUAUAACAGAGAAAACCGCCUGGUUUUCUUUUAAAAGAUGGCUCUGNUAUCACUUCUGGAUGGACCCGCGGNGCAUUAGCUAGUUGGUGAGGUAACGGCUCACCAAGGCGAUGAUGCGUAGCCGACCUGAGAGGGUAAUCGGCCACAUUGGGACUGAGACACGGCCCAGACUNCUACGGGAGGCAGCAGUAGGGAAUCUUCCACAAUGGACGCAAGUCUGAUGGAGCAACGCCGCGUGAGUGAAGAAGGGUUUCGGCUCGUAAAGCUCUGUUGUUAAAGAAGAACGUGGGUGAGAGUAACUGUUCACCCAGUGACGGUAUUUAACCAGAAAGCCACGGCUAACUACGUGCCAGCAGCCGCGGUAAUACGUAGGUGGCAAGCGUUAUCCGGAUUUAUUGGGCGUAAAGCGAGCGCAGGCGGUCUUUUAAGUCUAAUGUGAAAGCCUUCGGCUCAACCGAAGAAGUGCAUUGGAAACUGGGAGACUUGAGUGCAGAAGAGGACAGUGGAACUCCAUGUGUAGCGGUGAAAUGCGUAGAUAUAUGGAAGAACACCAGUGGCGAAGGCGGCUGUCUGGUCUGUAACUGACGCUGAGGCUCGAAAGCAUGGGUAGCGAACAGGAUUAGAUACCCUGGUAGUCCAUGCCGUANACGAUGAUUACUAANUGUUGGAGGGUUUCCGCCCUUCAGUGCUGCAGCUAACGCAUUAAGUAAUCCGCCUGGGGAGUACGACCGCAAGGUUGAAACUCAAAAGAAUUGACGGGGGCCCGCACAAGCGGUGGANCAUGUGGUUUAAUUCGAANCUACGCGAANAACCUUACCAGGUCUUGACAUCUUCUGCCAACCUAANANAUUAGGCNUUCCCUUCGGGGACAGAAUGACAGGUGGUGCAUGGUUNUCGUCAGCUCGUGUCGUGA
rnacentral:rRNA from 1 species